CCAAUAGCGUAUAUUAAAGUUGCUGCAGUUAAAAAGCUCGUAGUUGAAUUUCGGGACUAUCAUGUCGGUCGUGCCUCGGUACGUACUGGUAUUGUUGGUUUCUCCCUUCUGACGAACCAUGAUGUCAUUUAUUUGGUGUUGUGGGGAAUCAGGACUGUUACUUUGAAAAAAUUAGAGUGUUUAAAGCAGGCUCACGCUUGAAUACAUUAGCAUGGAAUAAUGAAAUAGGACGUUUGAUUCUAUUUUGUUGGUUUCUAGGAUCGACGUAAUGAUUAAUAGGGAUAGUUGGGGGCAUUAGUAUUCAAUUGUCAGAGGUGAAAUUCUUGGAUUUAUUGAAGACUAACUACUGCGAAAGCAUUUGCCAAGGAUGUUUUCAUUAAUCAAGAACGAAAGUUAGGGGAUCGAAGACGAUCAGAUACCGUCGUAGUCUUAACCAUAAACUAUGCCGACUAGGGAUCGGAUGAUGUUAAUUUUUUAAUGACUCAUUCGGCGCCUUACG
rnacentral:rRNA from 1 species